rnacentral:rRNA from 1 species
AGUUUGAUUAUGGCUCAGGAUGAACGCUAGCGGCAGGCUAACACAUGCAAGUCGAGGGGCAGCGUGGAGUAGCAAUACUCUGACGGCGACCGGCGAAAGGGUGAGUAACGCGUGAGCAACAUGCCCGGUAGUGGAGGAUAGUCGAUGGAAACGUCGUGUAAUACUCCGUAACAACAGAGACCGCAUGAUCUUUGUUUAAUAGAUUUAUUGCUAUCGGAUUGGCUCGCGUACCAUUAGCUAGUUGGCGGGGUAACGGCCCACCAAGGCGACGAUGGUUAGGGGUUCUGAGAGGAAGGUCCCCCACAUUGGAACUGAGACACGGUCCAGACUCCUACGGGAGGCAGCAGUGAGGAAUAUUGGACAAUGGCCGGAAGGCUGAUCCAGCCAUGCCGCGUGCGGGAAAGACGGCCCUAUGGGUUGUAAACCGCUUUUGUUGGGGAGCAAUAAGGUCCACGUGUGGAUCGAUGAGAGUACCCAGCGAAUAAGCAUCGGCUAACUCCGUGCCAGCAGCUGC